GGGCCCAUAGCUCAAUGGUAGAGCGGCUCCCUCUUAAGGAGAAGGUUUGAGGGUUCGAGUCCCUCUGGGCCCUCCA
rnacentral:tRNA from 1 species